UACGUAGGGUGCAAGCGUUGCCCGGAUUUAUUGGGCGUAAAGGGCGCGUAGGCGGCUCUGCACGUUCGUUGUGAAAUCGCCCGGCUCAACUGGGCGGGGUCAGCGGAUACGGCAGAGCUUGAGCAAGCUAGGGGGCAAUGGAAUUCCCGGUGUAGUGGUGGAAUGCGUAGAUAUCGGGAGGAACACCAGUGGCGAAGGCGACUACCUGGCCUGUUCUUGACGCUGAGGCGCGAAAGCUAGGGGAGCAAACAGGG
rnacentral:rRNA from 1 species